GUGAGUAAUGUCUGGGAAGCUGCCUGAUGGAGGGGGAUAACUACUGGAAACGGCAGCUAAUACCGCAUAACGUCGCAAGACCAAAGAGGGGGACCUUCGGGCCUCUUGCCAUCGGAUGUGCCCAGAUGGGAUUAGCUAGUAGGUGGGGUAACGGCUCACCUAGGCGACGAUCCCUAGCUGGUCUGAGAGGAUGACCAGCCACACUGGAACUGAGACACGGUCCAGACUCCUACGGGAGGCAGCAGUGGGGAAUAUUGCACAAUGGGCGCAAGCCUGAUGCAGCCAUGCCGCGUGUAUGAAGAAGGCCUUCGGGUUGUAAAGUACUUUCAGCGGGGAGGAAGGGAGUAAAGUUAAUACCUUUGCUCAUUGACGUUACCCGCAGAAGAAGCACCGGCUAACUCCGUGCCAGCAGCCGCGGUAAUACGGAGGGUGCAAGCGUUAAUCGGAAUUACUGGGCGUAAAGCGCACGCAGGCGGUUUGUUAAGUCAGAUGUGAAAUCCCCGGGCUCAACCUGGGAACUGCAUCUGAUACUGGCAAGCUUGAGUCUCGUAGAGGGGGGUAGAAUUCCAGGUGUAGCGGUGAAAUGCGUAGAGAUCUGGAGGAUACCGGUGGCGAAGGCGGCCCCCUGGACGAAGACUG
rnacentral:rRNA from 1 species